rnacentral:rRNA from 1 species
AGCUCCAAUAGCGUAUAUUAAAGUUGUUGCAGUUAAAAAGCUCGUAGUUGGAUUUCUGGUCGGAGCGAUCGGUCCGCCCCGUAUGGGGUGUGUACUUUUGGUCGUCUCCAGCCAUCCUUGGGGAGAACUGUUCUGGCAUUAAGUUGUCGGGGCAGGGAACCCCAUCGUUUACUGUGAAAAAAUUAGAGUGUUUAAAGCAGGCUUACGCCGUUGAAUACAUUAGCAUGGAAUAAUAAGAUAGGACAUUGAUGGUCUAUUUUGUUGGUUUGCACAUCAAUGUAAUGAUUAAUAGGGAUAGUUGGGGGUAUUCGUAUUUAAUUGUCAGAGGUGAAAUUCUUGGAUUUCUGAAAGACGAACUACUGCGAAAGCAUUUACCAAGGAUGUUUUCA